GGGUUGUGAGGUUAAGCGACUAAGCGUACACGGUGGAUGCCCUGGCAGUCAGAGGCGAUGAAGGGCGUGCUAAUCUGCGAUAAGCGCCGGUAAGGUGAUAUGAACCGUUAUAACCGGCGAUACCCGAAUGGGGAAACCCAGUGUGACUCGUCACACUAUCAUUAACUGAAUCCAUAGGUUAAUGAGGCGAACCGGGGGAACUGAAACAUCUAAGUACCCCGAGGAAAAGAAAUCAACCGAGAUUCCCCCAGUAGCGGCGAGCGAACGGGGAGGAGCCCAGAGCCUGAAUCAGCAUGUGUGUUAGUGGAAGCGUCUGGAAAGGCGCGCGAUACAGGGUGACAGCCCCGUACACAAAAGCGCAUGUGCUGUGAGCUCGAUGAGUAGGGCGGGACACGUGGUAUCCUGUCUGAAUAUGGGGGGACCAUCCUCCAAGGCUAAAUACUCCUGACUGACCGAUAGUGAACCAGUACCGUGAGGGAAAGGCGAAAAGAACCCCGGCGAGGGGAGUGAAAAAGAACCUGAAACCGUGUACGUACAAGCAGUGGGAGCACAGGUUUACCUGUGUGACUGCGUACCUUUUGUAUAAUGGGUCAGCGACUUAUAUUCUGUAGCAAGGUUAACCGAAUAGGGGAGCCGGAGGGAAACCGAGUCUUAAUUGGGCGUUAAGUUGCAGGGUAUAGACCCGAAACCCGGUGAUCUAGCCAUGGGCAGGUUGAAGGUUGGGUAACACUAACUGGAGGACCGAACCGACUAAUGUUGAAAAAUUAGCGGAUGACCUGUGGCUGGGGGUGAAAGGCCAAUCAAACCGGGAGAUAGCUGGUUCUCCCCGAAAGCUAUUUAGGUAGCGCCUCGUGAAUUCAUCUCCGGGGGUAGAGCACUGUUUCGGCUAGGGGGCCAUCCCGGCUUACCAACCCGAUGCAAACUGCGAAUACCGGAGAAUGUUAUCACGGGAGACACACGGCGGGUGCUAACGUCCGUCGUGAAGAGGGAAACAACCCAGACCGCCAGCUAAGGUCCCAAAGUCAUGGUUAAGUGGGAAACGAUGUGGGAAGGCCCAGACAGCCAGGAUGUUGGCUUAGAAGCAGCCAUCAUUUAAAGAAAGCGUAAUAGCUCACUGGUCGAGUCGGCCUGCGCGGAAGAUGUAACGGGGCUAAACCAUGCACCGAAGCUGCGGCAGCGACACUGUGUGUUGUUGGGUAGGGGAGCGUUCUGUAAGCCUGUGAAGGUGGCCUGUGAGGGUUGCUGGAGGUAUCAGAAGUGCGAAUGCUGACAUAAGUAACGAUAAAGCGGGUGAAAAGCCCGCUCGCCGGAAGACCAAGGGUUCCUGUCCAACGUUAAUCGGGGCAGGGUGAGUCGACCCCUAAGGCGAGGCCGAAAGGCGUAGUCGAUGGGAAACAGGUUAAUAUUCCUGUACUUGGUGUUACUGCGAAGGGGGGACGGAGAAGGCUAUGUUGGCCGGGCGACGGUUGUCCCGGUUUAAGCGUGUAGGUGUG
rnacentral:rRNA from 1 species